GUAAAAGUAAUGCCAGGGAUAAGUAAAUACAGAUAUACUUUUAAAGAGAGUGUUCAUGGUGAAAAAGCACAUUUAUACUAUAUUGAAACUCACCCUUAAACUGCAAUCUGAAAAUUAGUAGGAUUCUGCCGGCAGUGACGCCGUUAAAAUAUUCAAGUUAUAAAUUUGGGUGGUACCGCGAUAGACCUUUCGCCCCAUGG
rnacentral:ncRNA from 1 species